rnacentral:rRNA from 1 species
GUAGGGGGCAAGCGUUAUCCGGAAUUAUUGGGCGUAAAGAGUGCGUAGGUGGUUACCUAAGCGCAAGGUUUAAAUUAGAGGCUCAACCUCUACAUGCCUUGCGAACUGGGCUACUUGAGUGCAGGAGGGGAAAGCGGAAUUCCUAGUGUAGCGGUGAAAUGCGUAGAUAUUAGGAGGAACACCGGCGGCGAAGGCGGCUUUCUGGACUGUAACUGACACUGAGGCACGAAAGCGUGGGUAGCAAACAGGAUUAGAUACCCUGGCUGUCCACGCCGUAAACGAUGAGCACUAGGUGUUGGGUCCGUUAGGACUCAGUGCCGCAGUUAACGCAAUAAGUGCUCCGCCUGGGGAGU